rfam:Vigna radiata var. radiata cultivar VC1973A chromosome 11, whole genome shotgun sequence
UCUCUGUGAUGAUGAAAAUGAUGACGAGUCCGAUNUAUAUUCCAUUCUUUAAAAUUGUGAUGACAAUCGAGGCAUUUGUCUGAGAGGU